GCAGAAACUUGAGAGAAAAUGUGGGCUAGGAAUGGCCAGGGGUAACUGCAUAGGGUCUGGAUGUCACUGUGCUGAAGACAAAGGUGACUCGUGUCCUCACGUGAUGACACCGUCAGACAGACUGACAGACAGAGGGGAAGCAUCGUGGUGUGAUCUGGGAUUCACAGACAGCUCAAGCCUCAUCACUAAGCAUAAUCUCAAUAUUGGGAGAACCGUGAAUGCUGUUCAACCUGUAUUAUUCAAUUUCCCUCUCACCUAAAGUAAAGCUGUUUGGAUCCAUAUGAAGCUUCUCAAAACAGGUCCCACCCUGAUCUAGUGAUCUCAGCACCACCGCCAGGUUCUUUAUUUACAGACACGGUACUGCAUCUAACUGAAAAAGUGAAGCAUUUGUGAGUAUCAGUCCAGUGAUUUCUCCACCAGGGACCCAAAAAACAGAGCCCAGCACAGACCAAACACUGCACAUAACUAGGCAAGCAAAUGGAGGCUGGGUUGCUAUGUUACAGGAAGAGUGAUUUGGUCCUGAUUUCCAACUUUUUAAAGGCAUGUUUGGCUACUGCAGUGAAACACGCUAGCCUGAAUGCUGCAAUGUUUCUGUCACUCUCUACAGCGAACCCAGAAUUCCGGGUGUUACAGCCUGCCUGAAAGUGGCACUCUCCUCCAGACAUAAAAGCAUUGACGGUUAAAAAUCUGUUUGGAAGUUCCCAGGCAUGCUCAUGGAAGAGAAGUCCUGACAGCUCCAGUAUUCAGCAUAAUACAAAACUCAUGGCAUCCUCACCCCGAGGAGCUUCUACCUGCCUAAAAUGGAAGAGCAACAGC